AACGAACGCUGGCGGCAGGCUUAACACAUGCAAGUCGAACGCCCCGCCAGGGGAGUGGCAGACGGGUGAGUAACGCGUGGGAACAUACCCUUUUCUACGGAAUAGCUCUGGGAAACUGGAAUUAAUACCGUAUACGCCCUACGGGGGAAAGAUUUAUCGGGGAAGGAUUGGCCCGCGUUGGAUUAGCUAGUUGGUGGGGUAAAGGCCUGCCAAGGCGACGAUCCAUAGCUGGUCUGAGAGGAUGAUCAGCCACAUUGGGACUGAGACACGGCCCAAACUCCUACGGGAGGCAGCAGUGGGGAAUAUUGGACAAUGGGCGCAAGCCUGAUCCAGCCAUGCCGCGUGAGUGAUGAAGGCCUUAGGGUUGUAAAGCUCUUUCACCGAUGAAGAUAAUGACGGUAGUCGGAGAAGAAGCCCCGGCUAACUUCGUG
rnacentral:rRNA from 1 species